AACGCACAUUGCGCCCCUUGGUAUUCCAUGGGGCAUGCCUGUUCGAGCGUCAUUUGUACAUUCAAGCUCUGCUUGGUGUUGGGUGUUUGUCCUGCCUUAUGGGACUCGCCUUAAAUCAAUUGGCAGUCGGCAAUCUGGCGUAGGAGCGCAGCACAUUUUGCGCUCUUCACCGUGUAUUGCGGCGUCCAUGAAGCCUAUAUUCUAGCGCUUGACCUCGGAUCAGGUAGGGAUACCCGCUGAACUUAA
rnacentral:misc_RNA from 1 species